CACGUAGGGUGCGAGCGUUGUCCGGAAUUACUGGGCGUAAAGCGUGCGCAGGCGGUUUUGUAAGCCAGAUGUGAAAUCCCCGGGCUUAACCUGGGAAUGGCAUUUGGGACUGCAAGGCUUGAGUGCGGCAGAGGAGACUGGAAUUCCUGGUGUAGCAGUGAAAUGCGUAGAUAUCAGGAGGAACACCGAUGGCGAAGGCAGGUCUCUGGGCUGACACUGACGCUCAUGCACGAAAGCGUGGGGAGCAAACAGG
rnacentral:rRNA from 1 species